GAUGAACGCUGGCGGCGUGCUUAACACAUGCAAGUCGAACGGGAUCCCAGGGGUGCUUGCCCUUUUUGGUGAGAGUGGCGAACGGGUGAGUAACACGGGAGUAACCUGUCCUUUUCUUUGGGAUAAGCAUUCGAAAGGGUGUUUAAUACCUUAUGUUCUGUCUGCCUCGCAUGGGGUGGGUGGGAAAGGCUUUGGCCGGAUUUGGGUGGGCUCGCGGUCUAUCAGCUUGUUGGUGGGGUGAUGGCUUACCAAGGCUUUGACGGGUAGCCGGCCUGAGAGGGUGGUCGGUCACAUUGGGACUGAGAUACGGCCCAGACUCCUGCGGGAGGCAGCAGUGGGGGAUAUUGCACAAUGGGCGAAAGCCUGAUGCAGCGACGCCGCGUGGGGGAUGAAGGCCUGCGGGUUGUAAACUUCUUUUGCUCUGAACAAGGCAUGCCAGUGGGUGUGUUGAGUGUAGGGGUUGAUUAGCGCCGGCUAACUACGUG
rnacentral:rRNA from 1 species